rnacentral:rRNA from 1 species
AGAGUUUGAUCAUGGCUCAGAGCGAACGCUAGCGGCAGGCCUAACACAUGCAAGUCGAACGGUAAGGCCCCUUCGGGGGUACACGAGUGGCGCACGGGUGCGUAACGCGUAUGCAACCUACCUGUAACAGGGGGAUAGCCCCGAGAAAUCGGGAUUAAUACCCCAUACAAUCAAGAGAUGGCAUCAACUUUUGAUAAAAGCUUAGGUGGUUACAGAUGGGCAUGCGUGACAUUAGCUGGUUGGUGAGGUAAAGGCUCACCAAGGCGACGAUGUCUAGGGGGUCUGAGAGGAUGAUCCCCCACACUGGUACUGAGACACGGACCAGACUCCUACGGGAGGCAGCAGUGAGGAAUAUUGCGCAAUGGACGAAAGUCUGACGCAGCCAUGCCGCGUGAAGGAAGACGGCCCUAUGGGUUGUAAACUUCUUUUCUGGAGGAAGCAAAUAGUUUACGAGUAGAAUAUUGACGGUACUUCAGGAAUAAGCAUCGGCUAACUCCGUGCCAGCAGCCGCGGUAAUACGGAGGAUGCAAGCGUUAUCCGGAUUCAUUGGGUUUAAAGCGUGCGCAGGCGGAAUGAUAAGUCAGGGGUGAAAUCCCACAGCUCAACUGUGGAACUGCCUUUGAUACUGUCAAUCUUGAGUAUGGUUGAGGUAGGCGGAAUGUAGUAUGUAGCGGUGAAAUGCAUAGAUAUACUACAGAACACCGAUAGCGAAGGCAGCUUACCAAGCCAAUACUGACGCUCAGGCACGAAAGCGUGGGGAGCGAACAGGAUUAGAUACCCUGGUAGUCCACGCCGUAAACGUUGAUCACUCGUUGUUGGCGAUAGACAGUCAGCGACCAAGCGAAAGCGAUAAGUGAUCCACCUGGGGAGUACGAUCGCAAGGUUGAAACUCAAAGGAAUUGACGGGGGCCCGCACAAGCGGAGGAGCAUGUGGUUUAAUUCGAUGAUACGCGAGGAACCUUACCUGGGCUUAAAUGUAGUGUGCAUGAGAGAGAAAUCUUUCUUACCUUCGGGACUCACUACAAGGUGCUGCAUGGUUGUCGUCAGCUCGUGCCGUGAGGUGUCGGGUUAAGUCCCAUAACGAGCGCAACCCCUAUUUUUAGUUGCUAACAGGUUAAGCUGAGGACUCUAAAGAAACUGCCCGCGCAAGCGGAGAGGAAGGUGGGGAUGACGUCAAAUCAGCACGGCCCUUAUGUCCAGGGCUACACACGUGCUACAAUGGCAGGCACAAUGGGCAGCGAAGAUGCGAGUCGGAGCUAAUCUUAAAAGUCUGUCCCAGUCCGGAUUGGAGUCGGAAACCCGACUCCAUGAAGCUGGAUUCGCUAGUAAUCGCACAUCAGCCAUGGUGCGGUGAAUACGAUCCCGGGCCUUGUACACACCGCCCGUCAAGCCAUGGAAGCUGGGGGUACCUGAAGGCUGUAACCGCAAGGAGCGGUCUAAGGUAGAACCAGUAACUGGGGCUAAGUCGUAACAAGGUA